CCACGUGAACCCUGAGAAGCGGGAGAGGCGGGGGAAGAAGAAAUUCGCUCUGCCCUCAGUAGCUCUGCAGGCCGAGGGCAGCACUUGGCCUCUGGGCUCGGAGAAUGGUCCGCACCAUCUCCCAGACACGGGGCUCUUGGUCGGACGGGAGCUGAAUUCUGCAAACCUGGAUGAGCAGGGACUCAGAGGGGUCCACUGAGUUUCCAGAAAGACAGCAGCCCGGCUGGGAACCUGACUUCGGCCUUGUGACCUCUGACCUAUAGAGAGUAUAAGGGGCAGGCACUACCAGUGUUUUGUGUUUGCAAACCAAAACUCGGAGGAGGCUCAUCCAGAAGCAGGAAGUUGGCAAAAUAUAGAGGGAUCAGAGGAAACAGGCUGGCAACAGGAAGAGUUGGGAGAAGAAGGCUGAUGGGGUGGAUGGCAAGACCCUUCCCCAGGCUGCAGCUCAAAAGAAAUCUCCUAGGGCUAGGGAUUUAGCUCAAUGGCCCUCACCUGCCUUGCAAGUACAAGGUCCUGAGUUCAAUCCCCAGUACUGGGAAGAAAAAAAAGAGGAAGAGGAAGAAGAAGAAAUCUCCUAGUACAGCUACAUUUACUGUGAAGGAAGGGGAGGACUCAGUGGGCUUCACACCUGUGAGGAGGUUGCUUCAUUAAACUAGCAACUUGAGCCAGUGCCUCUGACCCUCUGCCUGUCUCUAGACUGUGGCUGGCCGGGGAGGGGGGAGGUGGUUACUCUCUGCAGUGCGUUCAGGUGCUGCUAAGUGCUGGGAUGUAUCUCAUAAGGGACAGCGGAAGAAUCAGACAAAGGGGAAGGAUAAUACCAAAUUUAUAUUUAAAAAGCAUCACUUGGGCUUAAGUGGGAAAUGACUCUAAGCUGGGUAACCAAUUGUGUGUUCAUCUGUAUCAUCAUUUGCUUUAGAGUUUUCACUUUGAGCAAAUUAAUGAUUCUACUUUAUACUUGUAGCUUCUACUGGGGCCAUCUCAUUGUUGUUCUUUGUCUUUUGGUGGGGGGUCUUUUGGUAGCAUUUGAGGAGUUAAUGUACAGAUCUUCACCUUAACCUGUGGAUAACUUCCAACGGCACCUCUGGUCCAAGGACAGCAUACAGCACAUUCACGACAGAUCAGGACAUGAAGAACUCCUACAGUGAUCUCAGGCAUUGUAUUACAGUUACUACAGUGGACCCUCAAGUUAUGACUGGCUGAACAUACGAAGAACUUUGUUACAAACAGAAUUUUAGGUUUAAUUUACAAACAGAGUCUUGAGUUACAACCUGAAUGCUUAUCACUUGUGCUUCCAGAUGGUCUCAGACACAGAUUAACCCCCUAAAGAGUUCUGGAAGGAACAUUACAGCACCCUUUCCUGAGUGGGGUUCACUGAGAAAUCCUGGGCCAGUGUCUCUCUAAGGGCACUGAGAUCUGCCUGUGUACAGAGACACUUUGAAGGCUGUGUAGAGGAGCUGAGCCUUCAAUUGACCAACUUGAGUUACAACCAGUGCUCGGGAAUGAAUUGAGUUCAUAAGUCAAGGGGCCACUGUGUUUCUUUCUUUGAUGGUGAUCUUUUAUUAGCAAUAAACCCUCUCAGCAGCCACAAGUCCAAAACUCCCACAUAUUUGACAAAUUAUGGGCUGAAUUAUUGUUUCGCAAGGUGAUGUUGAUAAGAUAAUAUAUAUAAAAUGUUAACCAGCAGGGAUUUAGCUCAGUGGAUCCACCUCCUGCCUCGAAAGCGUAAGGUCCCAGGUUCAAUCCCCGGUACUAAAGAAAAAUGUUAACCAAAGGAAAACCAGAAGACAGAAACCUGCUGAAAAAUCAGCUAUUUCAAAAUGUAGGAUUUAUAAGACACUGACUCUAACAACUGAAUACAUGCAGAUAGAGAAGGUGCAUUGCUCACUGCUCUGCAGAACAUGACUCUUCCAAGCGCCGGUGCAGGCUUUCCAGGGUACAUGCCCAUGGUGAAGUGACAAUUUAUUGGCUCCAUCAGGAGAAGAGAAAUUCUGAAUUAAAUGAUGCCACUUUAUCUCUAUUAUCAGAUGCUUCGAAUAAGUUAAUUUCUUCUUCUUCUUUUUUUUUUGGUACUGGGGAUUGAACUCAGGACCUUGUGCUUGUGAGGCAGGCAAAGGCACCACUGAACUAAAUCCCCAACCAAGUCUAUUUCAAUAAUGAUCAUUUAAAAAAAAUAAUAAUGAUCAUUUAAGAAAAUCUAAUUCAUAGAAUAUAAGUAAAUCUUAGGAGUUGAUUUGGUUGGCAUUAUUAUGAAUCCUAUUGGGAAUUAAGUUUAAAAUUUUUGACUUUGAAGAGGAAAAUAUUUUGUGAUAAUAUAAAUACAAAUUUUGGUAACAGACAUGUGGUAUAAACUUUGUGUCUUUACCAAAUUUAAGAACUUAUGGAUCUGAAGUGGAUUUAUAUACUUGUAACAUAUAUACUUUAUAAUUGCUGGUAAACAAGCUUACUAUUCUACCAAUUACAUUUUAAUAUAUUUAACUAGAACUUUGUGAAUAUGUUAACAGGAAUAUAUAUUAAAAACUCUGUAAUAGUUUAUGAUAUUGAUAAUGUUGAACACACAAAACUGCUUUUUCAUGGCACGAUUUGUUUAUUUUCUCUUUGUUCAUCAGCAAUUGCAGUUUAGAAGUGUUGGAGCCUUUGUGGACUCUCUUGAAAUCAGCCUUUGUUACCUGUAGUGUUCUAACAUAUUUUGUAUACUGUUCCUUUAGCUACUAAUUGCAUUUCAUACACAGUAAAUUGGGAAUUUUUAUGCCAGUACAGCAUUUAACAAUUGGAACAGCAAAAAGUGUAAAUUUCCAGAAAAUUGUAGUUAUAAAGCAGAAAAUUUAGAAAUAGGAAGUCGUUUAUCCCUGCAAAAAUGAGGGAAUGGAAAUGAGGAUUUCAAUGGUAUAAUAUCUCAUUCCAAAGGAUUAAGUUUGGUUUAGAAUAUUUCAAUUUGGGGGAAGGCUCUUUUAAUGCAGUUGUUUUCAACUGGAUUCAUUAGUGUUCUGUGCCAAGAUUGGGAAGUGGGUGGAAAAUGCUUACACUUUGCAGCAUUUACAUUUGAGGAAACAUUAAAAAAAUCAUAAAUGGUGGCAACUCUUUGGAAAAAUUUGUUUAAUAAAUAUUAUGUAUCAAAGAAAGGCACUCUAAAGAGUUCAGAAAGACAGUAUCUGUGAAAAUAUUUGACCUGCGGUACCUACAAUCUCAACCUGAAGGUCAGUUUUGGUCUGGGUUUAUCAAAUUCUAUAGAGUAUUUUCUCAAUGAAAAACAGUAUGGGCCUCAGCAGAAUAGGUUAAAGACAUAAUAACUCAAAAUGUAUUAAUAAUAAAAUUAAAAGACCAAAUAAUCUUACCAAAAUGUAUUUGCAGUACUGGGAUUGGACCCAGGGCCUUUGCACCAAGCUACAUCCGCGCCUUUAUUUUUUAUUUUGAGACGGGUCUAAGUUGCCCAGGCUGGGGAUCGUGGUUCUGAUCCUGCCUCAGUUUCACAGGGUUACUGGCCUAUGCCACUGCACCCAGCUGAACUGUAGUUAAGAAAAAGUAACAUUCUUCAUACUAAAAUAUGUACAGCUAAGGAAAUGAAUAUAGCAUAUAAAUUUGUACCAAGGAUAAUUACUAAUAUUUUAAAUUUCUAACAAUGCACAUGAAGUAUUUUUUGGCAUUAAUAUAAUGUUUUUAGAAAGAGUUUUACUUAUGGUAAAGUACACAUCACAUGAGGCUUGACAUUUCAACCAGUGUGAAGUGUGUAGCUCUGUGGCAUUUUUCCCAUUCACAGCACUGUGUAACCAAACCCCCAUGUUUCCAAAACCUUGCAUCACCCUAAACAGAAACCCCGUGCCCGGCAGCAAUCGCCCCCCUUCCCUCGCGCCCGACCCCCCUCGCCUCUUGCUCUACUCAGUCCCUGGGACCUGCCCAUUUUGCUUGCUCUGAGGAAGUGGGGUCACACUACACUCAUGCCCUGGUGUCUGCCCGCUGUCACUCAGCACAGUGUUCUCAAGCGUGACCUGCAUGUGGCAGUGACAGAGCAUCUUAUCCUGUUGCAUCUGCAGGCCACAUUGUGUCCGGCCUUACGCCCUCUGAGGGACUCUUGUGUCUCCAGCACGCAGGCAACGUGGGGAGUGCCAUCUUGGUUGGCAGGAAAUGAGACCUCAUUAUGGCUUUGGCAAAUUUCACUUGUAAAAGUGACAUUUGAAUGGAACCGUUUUGUCAGUUCACCAACAUGGUGAAAUAUGGUGGAGUCAGCUUGUCAGAGAGCUGGAGAUUUCCUAUCGGUUAAAUGCUGGCUAGAGGGCCAAAGGGUCAAGGCAGAGACGCAGGCAGAAACGUGAGUCGGAUGGGUGGUGCACCGUGAGAGAAGCGCAUUCAGUGGAAAAGUUGGGCUGCGUGCAGUAGGUGACAUGAAGAGGACUGAAGGCGUUUGCCUUGGGGAGGGGAGGAGAGAGCUGAUCUUGGUGCCACAGCAUGGAGGAGGGAUCCUCACUCCACGGAGGCUCGCGGUGAGGGCGGGCAAAGAUGGCACGCCGGGCAUGGUGGACACCAGUGUCGCUGGGCACAGGAGGAUGAUGCCUGGCCCCAGGGAGUCGGGACUCUGGUCCAGCUCAGGAGGGAAACUGGACCUUGGAUGUUUAGAUUUAUCUUUUUUCAGUGUUCUUAUUUCCAUAACAGAACGAUCAGCUUCCGGUGAGCAUUUCUCUGAUUUUCAGGCAUGCAGCAAAAUUUAACUGAGAAUUCCUCAUGGUUGAAGCCAUAGGUAGACGUAAGAGGAGUUAGAUUUCAAAAAGGUGUGAUUUUUGUUCAUGAUUAAUUUGUAAUUUUUUGUUUCAGAAGCUAAUAUUCAUGUGCAAAUUUCUGAUUGCCCUUGAUUUAGAAAGACUAAUGGGAAAAGUAUGAUGGGUUUGAGUUUUUAUAUAAAAUCAUCAGGCAUAGAGAAAUAUCUUUUAGAAGUGUUAAAAUAAAUGUUCCUACUGUAUAUUUAAAAU